AAGUCGUAACAAGGUUUCCGUAGGUGAACCUGCGGAAGGAUCAUUAACACGUGAUACUCACGUAUUAAAACCCACCGAGAAUUUGUUAUUUCGAAUCCUAUUGUUGAUUGUGAGUAGACGAAGUGAGGGAAUGCUAUUUGACCGCCCUUCGAAAGAUUGUACGUCAAUAACUCAUUAGUUGUUCUAGGUCCGCCCUGGAGCUUGCACCAAUAAAUAGUUGAUGAAUUACGACUGCCUAUUAAGCCUGUAGCAUAGCUUGCAGCUCGUAGUGAAAAUAUUAACCCCUUUUUUUAUUACUUAAUGAUUUGUAUGUUUGUAUGAAUUCCUGGUCUUCGGAUUGGUUGAGUUUGUAUAGAUGUCGUAUAUUACUAAUACGAAACAACUCUUAGCAACGGAUAUCUUGGUUCUC
rnacentral:misc_RNA from 1 species